CGGAAGAGAUAAGUGCUGAAAGCAUCUAAGCACGAAACUUGCCCCGAGAUGAGUUCUCCCUGACUCCUUGAGAGUCCUGAAGGAACGUUGAAGACGACGACGUUGAUAGGCCGGAUGUGUAAGCGCAGCGAUGCGUUGAGCUAACCGGUACUAAUGAACCGUGAGGCUUAACCUUACAACGCCGAAGCUGUU
rnacentral:rRNA from 1 species